UGUGCUUGUGUCUUUAUAGUAGCAUGAUUUAUCAUCCUUAGGGUAUAUACCCAGUAAUGGGAUUGCUGGGUCAAAUAGUAUUUCUAGUCUAGAUCCUUAAGGAAUUGCCACUGUCUUCCCCAAUGGUUGAAACCUAGCUAGCCUUUUUAUUUCCUGAAGGGACUAAAUCUCUUCAGGAAACAAGAGUGUUGUCCAGGCUGUUCUCAAAACGCUUGGCUCAAGAGAUUCUUCUGCCUCAGCCUCCCAAAGUACAGGGGUUACAGAUGUGAGCCACCACACCCAGCCCACAUGUAAUCUUAAUUGCAAUGUAGCAUCCAAAUAGACGCUGGUCCCGGUUUCUCCUUUAGGUCCCACCCCUAGUAUAUGCAGCAGAGACAGGGGCCCUGAUUGAAGUCCUUUCUUGCUUCUCUCCGGCACAGGUGGACGCUCCAGGACUCUCUGGGAAUGACAUCUGCCCCCCUGGCUUCUUCUGCCCCAAAGGAACAAGCUCUCCAGUGCCUUGUCCUCCUGGGUUUUACUCCUCCGUUCCAGGCCUGGGCAGCAAGGACCAGUGCCAACCAUGUCCCCCAGGGCGCUACUGCAGCCGGCCGGGGCUGACCAGCACCCUGGAGGCAGGGCUUUGCGAUGCAGGGUACAUCUGCCGAGAGGGCAGUGCUGUCCCCUCACCCUCCAAUGGAACCCAUGGAUACACAUGUCCCCCCUGGCUUCCAUUGUCCCCCAGGGGCCCACAGGGAGCUGCCGUGUGAGCCUGGCACCUUCAGCCCUCUGCCUGAGGCUGCCAUGUGCCUGCCCUGCCCAGAGGGCACCUACUGCCACCAGGCUGCCACCAUGGAGCCCACCAUCUGCCCCAAAGGUAACAUCCUCAGGCCACCUUGCCCUGGCUCUCCAGGGCAAAGAACAUUGGCAUCUCGCACCCCGGGCUCCCUGAGCUCAGGUCUGUCCAGAGUGCCAUGCUGGGUGUUGAGUGUCGCCUCACCCUGUGCUGCCCCUGCUGACCCACCUAUGAAAUGGGCUUAUCACGUGACAGAGGGAGGUCGUCGGGAGAAGGGUGUUGGGGGGCCCCAAUGUCUGGGGACUUGCCAGCCCCUGCCCUACACGGUCUGUGACAGGCACUGCUCAGCUGUCCCCGGCGUGUGGCUGCGCAGGGGUAAGGAAGGAACACACCGGACACGGCCAGGCAGCCUCCUGAACUGUACUCUCCUGUCCUGAGAGGCUGGGUGUUGGGGUCGGCUCCUCCCUGGCUGGAAGGCACUGCACCCCUGGGCAGACCAAACCCAUCUGCAAGUGGGACCAUGGUGCCUGGUGCCUGUGGACGCCCCAUCCCAGCAGGAACAUCCCCAGAGGGGACUGUGGCUGAUCUGGUUUGAGACUCCAGGUCACCUCUGGGGCACCUGGUGGUGCCUGUGGGGCUCCAGGGCAGUGCAGGGGUGACAGGGACACAUGGCCUCAUUUUCUCCAGGACAAGAAACUGUUUCCCUCUCAGCCCUGCAGAGCCAGACCACACCUGCCCUGGGCCCACCUCUCCCUAAGGAACAGCCUGUGCACACACAGACACAAACAUGUGCUCAUGUGCACACACUCAUGUACGCAGGCAUGCUCACAGACAUUCACAUUUCUCAAACUCACUGCGACAUCCACUUCACUCACACCAUUACACGCACACCCCGUCACACUCACACUCACUUGCACACACACUCCACUCACAUUUGCUCACAUUCCACUCACACUUGCUCACACACACACUCACUGUCACACCCACACCUCAGCUGCCCCGACACAGACUCCACCCCACUGGCCCGGAUUCUGGACCAGCAUCCCCUUCAGGCCCUCUGGCUGUGGCCUCUGCACCCUCAGGGCUGCACUAAUUUCUCUUCCAUAAAGGAUGGGAGGCUGUAGAGUGCCAGGCAGCC
ensembl:lncRNA